rnacentral:rRNA from 1 species
GGCCUGCGCGGAAGAUGUAACGGGGCUAAACUAUGCACCGAAGCUGCGGCAGCGAACGUAUCACUUAAACUGAUUAAGUGAUACUCAAAUGUAUCAAAACGAUUGACGGAGCGAAGCGACGUCAAUGCGUCCAACAAAGUCGAGGCGGAAACGUCAGGCAGUCAGUUUAAGGAUACGUUCGUUGGGUAGGGGAGCGUUCUGUAAGCCUGUGAAGGUGUGCUGUGAGGCAUGCUGGAGGUAUCAGAAGUGCGAAUGCUGACAUAAGUAACGAUAAUGCG